rnacentral:rRNA from 1 species
AGCAGCCGCGGUAAUUCCAGCUCCAAUAGCGUAUAUUAAAGUUGUUGCAGUUAAAAAGCUCGUAGUUGAAUUUCGGAAUCUGUCCGUCGGUCGGGCUUCACUGUCCGUACUGGCGUGAUGGGUUUCUACCUUCUGAAUAACCGGCAUGUCAUUAAUUUGGUGCGCCGGGGAAGCAGAACUAUUACCUUGAAAAAAUUAGAGUGCUUAAAGCAGGCUAUCGCCUGAAUAGAUUAGCAUGGAAUAAUAAAAUAGGACGGCAUGGUUCUAUUUUGUUGGUUUCUAGGAUCACCGUAAUGAUUAAUAGGGAUAGUUGGGGGCAUUAGUAUUCAAUUGUCAGAGGUGAAAUUCUUGGAUUUAUUGAAGACUAACUUCUGCGAAAGCAUUUGCCAAGGAUGUUUUCAUUAAUCAAGAACGAAAGUUAGGGGAAUCGAAGACGAUCAGAUACCGUCGUAGUCUUAACCAUAAACUAUGCCGACUAGGGAUCGGAUGAUGUUAAUUUUUUAAUGACUCAUUCGGCGCC